rnacentral:rRNA from 1 species
UUUUGCCAAGUCUGUAGCGUGCUCAGCGAGCACAGGGUCUAGGGGAUCGUGCGCGAUCCCAAGGAGUGCGGCGACGGCGUUGUUGUACCACAAGCAGCUGGAAAGGACGGAGGGCGCGAGAUCCCAAGGAACGCGACGUCGGCGGCGUCGGCGUCGUACGAUCUCGAGAGAAGGUCGUCCAGCUGCUCGCGCGUCGCUGCUUCCUUGGGCUGCCGCUGCCACUCUUAUAUCUACUAUCCUCUUACCCCCUUCUAUAUUUACGGAACUAACUUAUUUAUUUACCUCCUAAGUACCCCGAAGUGAUUACCUAUCGUAGUGUGACAGCGGACUUUAACGUCAUCACAUAUGUGGGUCCCGCGGAUGUACGAGUACAAUCUCAAUUACCUCCUACUUCACACUGGCAUGAUAGAGGAACACAGAUGUUGCUGCACACGGUCAUGACAGAGGAACUGGCCGAGGAAUCCGAGAGGGACACGCCAUCGCCGAGUUAGAGGCACCACGGCAGCUCCUCCCCGACCCCGCCGGCACAGACCACGCGAGAGCGAUGAGUAGCUGGAACGACAAUGAUGGAGUAGGAACUUCGGUACCCACCGGAGAUUGAAAGGGAAACCUCACAAGUUACGUUUGACGUUUUCAUCUCGACCAACCGAUCGACAACUAAACUAGCCCCCUAUCGUAUACUUCACUCAUUUGUCUUUCUUUCACUCGUAGGUUCGUCCUUGACGUUUACGAGAUAAAAUCAGUUUCGUACCCUUACACGUGUUCCCUUUCCGUACAUAUUCAUCGUGUUAGCACCACGCGUACACUUCAGAUCUUCGCCUACCGUGUUUCAACCCUUUCAACAGAAGAUUUCCAACUACAGGGCCCGUUCUGCGUCAUGGAGUACAAACAGAGAAAAACCCUGUACGACGUUGUGUACCCGUUCAACCUCUAACCUCUUCAGCUAACCCCCGAACUCCGUACUCUCCUAUGGUACUCUUCCCAUCAGUCCUCCUUCGAGAUCUCAGAUGUAAGUCGUGGUUUCGGACGUGGUAUCGUCUCUUGUUACUACUUACGUUCCAUAUAAUAGAUCCUUUAUAUAGCGAAGUUGGAUUACUAGGUACUACCACAGUCGAGCUAAACUAAGACCUCCGAAGGAAACGAGUUAUAUCCCUAACACUGUACAAACCCACCAGACGUUACACCUGAACAUGUAAAGUUCUUUACGUUCCAUAUAAUAGAUCUUUUAUCUAGCGAAGUUGGACUACAGGUACUACCACAGUACGAGCUAAACUAAGACCUCCGAAGGAAACGAAUUAUAUCCCUAACACUGUACAAACCCACCAGACGUUACACCUGAACAUGUAAAGUGCCAUAUAUUAUGACUACUUACAAUCUGAUUAUGCAAUGUAUCCGUUACCAUGACGCGGAAAGAGCGGGUAUAGAGAGAUAUGUAUAAAGAGGUGAAUAAUCACUGGGGGAUUAGUUAUCUUGGACAUACUAGACAUAUCUGAUCGAUCUCGUGUUGUAUAAAAGCACUUGUCCCCUCUCAUCUCUAAGUAUAAAUUUUCUUUAAAACGUUCAAAAACACCGUAAUAUAAGGUUUAAAAAUCCGUAACAUAAGGUCUAAAGAAAACCGUACACAAAAACACUGCACGUCGCUUAUCCGCCCCUUUCUCGUUGUACCGGUUCGUUCACAACUCAUUUCUUGGUACUCUUAUUUGACUCAAAAACUAAAAGAAAAAACCCACGUGAAAAUUACAACGUACCUGACUCGUAUGUGACUAAAAAAAUGAAGAAGGUAGCACAUCGAUGUCCUCGUGUUUGAUUCAGGGGGACAGGAGGGGAGAGUAGGCGCGUCAACAGCGGCUGAUGCGCACACGGAGGGCAACAGUGGUGACUGAGGGAAAUGACAUUCUCACAAGUAGUAAAGGCAUUAACGGCACUUUCUAUAGAUUGGAGAUUAUACUCCAACAUUCUAAUGAAACCAAUUUGAAAGAUAAAUGGGGGAAGUCCUGUUAACAUAUACCGUAAACCAAUAAGUACAUGUGGUCAUACUGAGUACCGUAAAGACCUAACAGUUGUCGGGACUAGACUAACAAACUACAUGAAUAUAGUAAAAGAAAAGUCAGUGGAGAAGUAGGCUCGUCCCCACCGCUCCCUUGUCUUUACCAGCACCACUUUCAGCUAAAUCACGUAGUUCUUAACCUCCAACACUCUAAACGUUCUCCACUACUUCCUGUUAAACAAUAGCACGGAAUAUUGUAUAUCGUCAGCUACUACUCAUGUUCGUAUUCUACCAACUGUUAGACAUCUCGUACUCUGUAUGAAAAUGUUAGACAUUCUCCUAGUUUAUUAUACAAAACAACUGUUUCUACUAAAACCUUAAAGAUAUAUUGUACGUACAUGUUAUACAAUUACUUCGAUGUACUUACGAGCUACGAGACAAGUUCUGAAGAGCUCAUCUUCACAUAGUCAAAUAGUAAAAGUAGAAGGAUUUAUUUUGGUAGCUACAAAUUGUACUAAAUACCUAUAGACCAACAUCGAAUCGUCCGAACUCCGGCGACCGCAAAUAGUUCUACUCAAACCUUUAUGGGUCAACUCUCCGCCCCCAAUAGCCCAAGCACACUCCCCGCACACUGCAGUGGUUUUGUAGCUUCUACCACCGCCCCGAAUAUAUCUAUCAACCCCAAAGACCACCGAACCCAACCCGCCACAACUGUGUACUAAUCCGUCCACAUCCACCAGUGGUCGUAAUCUCUACCACCAUCCCAAAUCUCCUUAUCGACUCCCACCGCCUACGACCCCGCCCCACCGCCGCUGCCUGCUAAUCCGUCCACCUCCACCUACCCAGUUUCCCACACGCCCCAGUGGUCGUAUUUUUUACCACCAUCUCAAAUCUCCCUCCGCCGACGAUGCGCAUUCGGCCGACUAAAAAACCUUCUAGUCGGCGGGCGUGUCGGCAGUCUAUGUCGGCACACACCGGUAAUCUAGCAUCCGAUCGUGGUCGCGCAGAAGGAGCAGAGAGAAGCGUAGGAGGAGAGCGCAGUGUAGAGUCGGUCGUCCGCGCUACUUCCGAGCGAGGGAGGGCUUGAACAUAGCGUCACGGUUCAGCAAGCUCGUCGUCGAGGAAGGGCCGGCCAUCACGUCACGGCAGCAAGCGGCCUCAGAGCAAAACCAGCAUCGUCGAGGAGGGGCCGGCCAUCACGUCACGGCAGCAAGCGGCCUCAGAGCAAAACCAGCGUCGUCGAGGAGGGGCCGGCCAUUACGUCACAGCAGCAAGCGGCCUCACUGCAAACCAACGUCGUCGUAGGGCGUCGGGCAAAGAUACGAGGUUGUGUCGUGGCCGUCAGGUUGCUACGAGGCAGCAUCGAGGUAUCGUCGUGGCUGCUGAGCCUCUACGAGGUAACGUUGGAGUAACGACGUGCCGCGCCACGAAGCAGCGUCGAUGUCACGAUGUGGCGGGGGUAGCAGCCACGGAGGUACUUUCGAUGUAACGUCGAUGCGGCGGAGGGAGCUACCACGUCGCUUCGUUGCUACGUGGGUAACACCGCGACGGCGGCCGAUGGAGCUCGUAGCCUCGGUGGCUUCUCGAGGUUGCCUCGUCGUGGCUUUGACUACUUUUUUUCGAAACGUUGCGGCUGCUGUGGGGUCCCUUCGAGGUACCGUCGUGGCGCCGAGGUUUUUUCGAGGCUACGCCGUGGCAGCUGCGGGCCGUUUCGAGGUAACAUCGGAGCCAGCACGAGGUAACGACGAGGCCGCUUCGAGGUAACGUCGGCACCGCUUCGAGGUUCGGAGGUUACGUACUGGAGCGUGUGCGAGGUAACGUCGGGGUGGCUGCCGCCUUCGACGCUACGUUGAGGCCACCGCGAAGUUACGUCGGUGCCGCCUCGAAGUUGUUGGAGCGAGCCGCGAGAUGACGUCGGGGCGGCUGCCGUCUUCGACACUACGUUGAGGCCACCGUGAAGUUACGUCGGUGCCACCUCGAAGUUGUUGGAACGAGCCGCGAAACGACGUCGGGGCGGCAGCACUCGUACUUAGUCCGCUGCAAGCGAUCAGGGAAGGAGGCGAUGCCACCACGGAGACGAGACGGCGAAUUGCUUACGUUGUUUAGCAGCCUACUGGCAAGGUAACGGCGAGACGGUGGCCGCUGAACGUCGUGGUCAUCGCGGCUGCUCCAACGUAGCGUCGUGCCGCCGGUACCUACUCAACUACACAGCCACGGACCGCCGGGACCUGCACAACGACGCAACAUCGUGGCUGCCAGCAACUACUCGUGGCAUAACGUAGCGGCCCUUGUGGAGGUACCUGCGAACAAACGUCCAUACGGUGGAGGUUGCUAAGUCGCCUCCUCGUGGCCGACGACCACGGCUACCGACCGCCAUUGGGAAAAACCAAAGGAUCUACUACACCACCAGAGCGGUACUGAGGAGA